rnacentral:rRNA from 1 species
GACGAACGCUGGCGGCGUGCUUAACACAUGCAAGUCGAACGGGAGUAUCUAGAAAGCUUGCUUGAAGGAUACUUUAGUGGCGGACGGGUGAGUAACGCGUGAGGAGCUGUCCUAUGCAGGGGGACAACAGUUGGAAACGGCUGCUAAUACCCCAUAAGCCGAGAGGUAAAAGGAGCAAUCCGGCAGAGGAGGCACUCGCGUCCUAUCAGCUAGUAGGUUGGGUAAAGGCCGACCUAGGCGAAGACGGGUAGCCGGCCUGAGAGGGCGAACGGCCACACUGGAACUGAGAGACGGUCCAGACUCCUACGGGAGGCAGCAGUGGGGAAUAUUGGGCAAUGGGGGCAACCCUGACCCAGCGACGCCGCGUGGGUGAAGAAAUCCUUCGGGAUGUAAAGCCCUGUUGUAUGGGAAGAGCAGAAGACGGUACCAUACGAGGAAGCCCCGGCAAACUACGUG